rnacentral:rRNA from 1 species
GGCAGCAGUGGGGAAUCUUAGACAAUGGGGGCAACCCUGAUCUAGCCAUGCCGCGUGAGUGAUGAAGGCCUUAGGGUCGUAAAGCUCUUUCGCCUGUGAUGAUAAUGACAGUAGCAGGUAAAGAAACCCCGGCUAACUCCGUGCCAGCAGCCGCGGUAAUACGGAGGGGGUUGGCGUUGUUCGGAAUUACUGGGCGUAAAGCGCGCGUAGGCGGAUUAGAAAGUUGGGGGUGAAAUCCCGGGGCUCAACCUCGGAACUGCCUCCAAAACUGCUAGUCUAGAGUUCGAGAGAGGUGAGUGGAAUUCCGAGUGUAGAGGUGAAAUUCGUAGAUAUUCGGAGGAACACCAGUGGCGAAGGCGGCUCACUGGCUCGAUACUGACGCUGAGGUGCGAAAGUGUGGGGAGCAAACAGGAUUAGAUACCCUGGUAGUCCACACCGUAAACGAUGAAUGCCAGUCGUCGGGUAGUAUACUAUUCGGUGACACACCUAACGGAUUAAGCAUUCCGCCUGGGGAGUACGGUCGCAAGAUUAAAACUCAAAGGAAUUGACGG